GGCAAAGAUGUUUAUUGAAAUGUAGUCCUUUCAUACAUAAUUAUUAUUUAUGACAGUGAAAAAACUGGUAACAACCUAAAUGUUCAAAACAUAUGGGUAAUGUUUAAUAACAUAUAUUGCCCUAUUUGGGAUGUACUAGUAUAUCCACACCUGGGGGGUGGUUGUUUCGUUUUGUUUUUUGGAUCACCAGCAAAAAUAAUUGACCAGGCAGCUGUAAAUCAGUAGUUCUCAACAGAAGUGCCACGAGGACUACUGUGACUCUUAGUGGGGCUCCAUAAUUGAUGGAUAGAGUUUCCUUUUGCUACAACUAUAAUUCACACCGUGUCUGGGCAGACAGAAUGUUGAGCCAGGCUGCACAUAGUUUCUGUGUGGUGCAGGGCACAACUCAAUACACAUCAAGAAACAAAGAAGCUGUAUGCAUCUGCCAGGAACUGAGAGAACUGUAUCUAAGAGACAGUGAUCAGAGGAGUAAAUCCUUCUACUCAAACAGUGACAUGAUGCUGAAGCGUGGUCAGUCUAACAGUAAAAUUACUAUACAUGCAACUCAGUCCUUUUUUUUUUCCUUUGGAAGAUUGCCCCUGAGCUAACACCUGUUGCCAAUCUUCCUCUUUUCUUUCUCUCCCCAAAGCCCCAGUACAUAGUUGUACAUCCUAGCUGUAAGUCUAUCUCGUUCUUCUAUGUGAGAUGCUACCACCACAUGGCUUGAUGAGGGGUGUGUAGGCCCACUCCCAGGAUCCAAAUCGGUGAACCCUGGGCCACUGAAGCAGAGCAUGUGAACUUAACCAUUAUGCCACUGGGCCAGCCUCCAACUCAGUCCUUUUGAAUGUGCUGCCAAAAAUACUAGCACUCAAAAGAAUGCCAUUCUAUUCAUUAGAGUUAUGCUGUAACAAAUUAACCCCCAAAUUCUGGGGUUCUUUCUCACCCACAUAACUAGUCCAAUGCAGGUGUUGCCGGUAAGCUGGUGGUUUUCCUCCACUUGGUGAUUCAGGGACCCAGGCUCCUUCCAACUGUGGCCCUUCCACUUCUAGAGCCUCAGAGUCCAGCAGAUGGAAAGAAAGAAUGCAGAAAAGUCACCUCUUAACCACACUGGCCUGCAAGUGACACAUCACUUCCAUUUCCAUUCUGUUGGUGACCAGUGACAGUCCUAUCUAGGGACAAGAGGUGCCAGGAACAUAACCCCUGGCUCAGCAACCACUUCUCAGCAACACCUCUAAACUAUGACAGGAAGAACACACGUUUCUGAUGAACAACCCACCCUCUUUGCUACAGUCACAAAUCCAAAACAGUUGAGAACCAUUGGGUAACAGGUUUUGUUUCCACGUGGAGAAGUGGGAAAAUACCCAAUAGUGCCUCAUUAGUAAAACAAUGCCUCCUGCUCCCAGCCUUUUGUACACUGAACAUGUCACAGGCCUAGGGGCGAUCUUGAACAUUGCCUCCUGUUCAGUCCAGGGACCAUACUGGCUCAGGCCUCUGUUCCCAUUCCUUUGAUGGUCAUUCAGUCUGCUCCUCUCUAUACAACUCCUCUUCACGCCCUGCCACCUCAACCUCCUUGCUGGUCAGCUCUGGCUCAGGCGCUGGUCCCGAGUCCAAUCAGUUGUCACUAGGGAAACAGAGCUGGCUCUACCAUAUGCUUGUGGUUUACAAGGCAUAGCUACUUUCCAGAGAAAGAAUUGCCUGGGACCACUUCUCCUAAAGAGAGAUUAUUGGCACGGCAGGUCCUUAGAGCUUUAUUGACCUACCAGUACAUAGAGUUGUAAAAAGCCACAAGAGGGCAGGGAUAGUGUCCAUCCUGCUGACAAUUUCACCACUGUAUCCACAGCACUUAGCACAGUGUUUCAGAAACCUAGAGAAGCCACAGUGUAGCUGAAUAGUUACCUGUUGAAUGAAAAAAUAAUAAUAAUAAUGAAUAAAUGAAUGAACACUCGUUCUUGCUACUAAUGAUAGAAAAUAGUAAAGAUAAAAGUAUUACAGGACAAAGAUAGAAUACUGUACGUAACUUUACAAUCAGUGUGAUCACAACUUAGGAGUCUUGCAUCAAAAGCAAAAAGAAUGAAUUUACUUAUUUUUAACAAUUUUGAGCACUUCCUAGCCCUUUCACUAAAUAACUACCACCCGGCCCACCAAUGGAUUUAAUAGCAGUUGUCACUGUGGCUAUUGUUUGCCAAUUCUGGCUGAUGCCUGACAACUCCAAGGAGAAAUGGAUAUACCCCUUGG
rnacentral:lncRNA from 1 species